rnacentral:rRNA from 1 species
UACGUAGGUGACAAGCGUUGUCCGGAUUUAUUGGGCGUAAAGAGCUCGUAGGCGGUGUGUCGCGUCGGCCGUGAAAACCUGCAGCUUAACUGUGGGCUUGCGGUCGAUACGGGCAUCACUGGAGUUCGGCAGGGGAGACUGGAAUUCCUGGUGUAGCGGUGAAAUGCGCAGAUAUCAGGAGGAACACCGGUGGGCGAAGGC